AGUUAAGAUGAAUAAAAUCUCACGCGUCAAAAAAUAUCGACAGUUAACAAAAUGGCGAACGUAAAAUCGCAGUCUUGCCAAUGAAACAAGUCGCUUUACCGAUUCUACCUUACCCAUAGAACGUAGAGUUAUAGUCGGAGAUCGCUUCGAUGAUAUCGACCGAUAUUUGUAAUAAAAAAGUAUAUAAAAAGAUUACCAAACGAGGGAAUUAGAAAUAGCGCUACCUAUAAUCGGUACAAAUAGAUUCAAUGGCGCGAAAAGGUUUUACGUAUUUGCAAAUACUUUUAACUUCAAACAACCAUAUUUUUAAGAAAAAUUACACUGACAGAUAAAGCUGUUUGUUCCGAUGUAUUUACGUAACACGAAAAUAGAAAUUGUAAACAUUGUAGCAACGCUAAACCAACCGAGUGUAGUGCCGCUUUGAAAGUAAAAUUAAUCGUGCGAAACCUAUCAUCGCCGUGAAUCAUAAGAAUCUCGCAAUUAUAAUGUCAUAAUGAAAUUGGAUGCGUAAGAGAUGCUCGCUUCGAUAAAAGAUUAAAUCUUUUUUACUUCAUAAGGAAGUGGAUAGAAAAAUAAAUACAAGCUUCAAAUAUAUAUAUCUGUAGUCCGUAGACUAACGAACAGUUAACUACUUAGUCAGCC
rnacentral:misc_RNA from 1 species